CCAUGUGAUGUAAUCUUCCAGACCUAGUCCAAUAAAUGUGGACUGCACUUGUCGCCUCCAUACAUGGAAGUUGUUGGUGAGUAAUUUGGUAGGAAAGUGACUUGAGGCGGUGAUUUGUAUUUGGGAUGAUUGUGUCAUGGUGAUGUUGAUGAAAAGGAUUAGAGGAGAAAGGCAAGAUGAUCGAUUGACUCUUUAGAGUGUGUGUGCUCUGAUACGAUAUGAGAUUUGAGAAUCAAUGGGCUCGAAUGAAUAAUUUCAUUUACAAAGAUCGAUACAUAUAUAGAUGGUAACGAGAGUUAAAGAGCUAUACAUGGAAUUUACUAAGAAUAGAUUGCAAUUACAUACAAAUAGAAGAGAUUAUUGUAGAUUAGUCAUGAAGAUGUGUACGAUGUUAUAGUUAGAUUGCUUAUUUGCAAUCCAUGUUAGCUAAGUAUGUCAUGUUGAAUACAAAUUGUAUUAAAACAUUAAAGUUCCAACCAUUAUAUGUUGAAGAAGAAGCAAAUACGCCUUAGUCACACCCAUUCUAAAUGAUAUGGAUGUUAUGGUUGUCGUUUCUAUGCAACCAAAUCGUGAUUCCAAGUUGCAGUUGUCUUACCAAUAUAUCAUGUUAGGAAAAGAUGACAUAGCAUGAAAUAUUGUAUGUUACAACAAAAAGAUAUAUCUUAUAGAUGUCUUGCACAUGGGUUAUUCCUUUUUAAGCACUUAUAUAAAAAUAAUAUCACGUAUGUAUGAUAUCUAUUUUGAGAGAUUUUUAGCAAGCAACUCUUUGUCUAUUAUUGUUAUUGGAUAGAAAAAGUAUCAUCUUCGUUGGGAAGAUUUUACUAGGAUUAGAUUCAUAAUAGUUUGUCAAAGAUUUUACUAUUAUGUAUUUAUAAACCCAUGAAGUUUUCUAUUAAAUAAAUAAAUAAAUAACCAUUCACCAUUUAUAUCUUUUUGGAAUAGAGUUUGUUAAAUUCUAAUAUAAAUAAAAAGAGUAUUUAUUUAGAUUCACACAUUACAAAAUUACAAACUCCAAGCAUAAAUCCGAAACUUAUUUUUAAACUUCUUCAUUUAUAUUACAAGUUUUAUUCUUUUUUCCCAACCCACUUGGGGUUUCGAAACCCUAAAAAAGUUCUAUCCAUGGAAGUUCAUAUUUAUUUCUUAUCUUAAUGAAUUUAAGGUCUAAAUCAAUAAAUGGCAAUGUAGAAUUAACCGCAUAUAUUAAGUUAUUUUUGGAAGCUUUCCAACACAACACAGAAAGGAAAUGAUGAGAAUUUAUGGUACCAAAUAACAAAAUAAUCCCGGUUCCUAUAAAAAUUUAUUAAAGCUCUACUCAUGAUUUCAUAAUCUCCUCUAAUAUGAGGGUUACGUUAUUGUAAUAAUAACUAUGAUAAUGUAAAAGCCAUAACAUAAAUCGUCUUAAUUUAAGAAAUAAUAUAAAUCCCAAGAUAUUGUUUUUAAAAUAAAAAGGAAAAAAGUGGGAGUCCAUUAGAAGGAGCCAAGCUGAUUAUUUGAGCCAAGAGAGCACCGAUUUGUUAUCCUUCCACUGUUCGAAGCGAGAGGUUAUCGCAGCUCUGUGAAGCCAGCCUAACGCAUUGCCCUCUGCUCUAGGAACCAAGAAGCCCAAGCCUUCGCUCAAGCCACUUGAUCCAACUCCGAACUUGGAACGGGCAAACCAGAUUUUGCAACAGCUUUGACCCAACCAAACAAGGCUCGAUCUCAGUCCAUCCCACUUUAGAGCCCUCACUUGAGUCACAAGCUCGCGUUACCAAGCUCGGCGAUAAACGAAGUCCAUUUGAUGUAUAAAUAAUCGGAAAAACUUUCUCCUCCAAGCGAUGUGGGAUGCGAAACGAAAUAUUUUCAUCUUCAUUCUCUCUUUAUCUCUGUCAAAUACUGUGAUUACUGAUUACUGACUACUUAAACACCCAUGCAACGGAUUUCAAGUAUUUUUUUCAAUCCAUGGAUUUAGAACUGUAAACU
rnacentral:lncRNA from 1 species